AUCUAUACCCUUUCCUCACAAUGGUCAUUAUUCUCUAUGAGCUAUACAGACACGGUAACUCAGAUGGAUGAUGAUGGGUAAAACUCCUCUGCUGACCAACGGAAGCUGUCAGCAGGUUUCCAAGCUGGUUUUAGGUGGCAGAGCUUAUGCAGAGUUUGAGAAUAUCUUUAGUACAACAUACGUUUCCAAUCUAUGAACACCAAGCCUCAAAAGGCUCAUAGGUAUCAUACAGGCAAGUCCCACUUUGGAAACCCAGUGCUAUCAUAUGGAUUUCAGGGAAAAAUUCUGGCUUGACUACAGUGAAAAUGAAGACAAAACACACAUCCUUCAUCUGUUUUCGCAGCCUCUUCUUUUGACCCAUUAUAACAUGUUCUUGGGAAGCUGAGGAGAGAUCAACUGAGCCAUGAUUCUCAUAGCAGGUGCUGCAGAGCAUUACUCAGAACUAGACGUGUGGUGUGGAGGCUUUACAAGUGACAAGCAGUGCAUGCGGACGACUCCAUCUCACUGGCUGUCCUCCUGACCGCACAUCCCAACACGAG
ensembl:lncRNA